UGGGGAAUUUUGGACAAUGGGGGAAACCCUGAUCCAGCCAUCCCGCGUGUGCGAUGAAGGCCUUCGGGUUGUAAAGCACUUUUGGCAGGAAAGAAACGUCAUGGGUUAAUACCCCGUGAAACUGACGGUACCUGCAGAAUAAGCACCGGCUAACUACGUGCCAGCAGCCGCGGUAAUACGUAGGGUGCAAGCGUUAAUCGGAAUUACUGGGCGUAAAGCGUGCGCAGGCGGUUCGGAAAGAAAGAUGUGAAAUCCCAGAGCUCAACUUUGGAACUGCAUUUUUAACUACCGGGCUGGAGUGUGUCAGAGGGAGGUGGAAUUCCGCUGGUAGCAGUAAAAGGCGUAGUUAUGCGGAGGAACACCGAUGGCGAAGGCAGCCUCCUGGGAUAACACUGACGCUCAUGCACGAAAGCGUGGGGAGCAAACAGG
rnacentral:rRNA from 1 species